GUCACCAAAAGAGAAAGUUUUCUUUCUGACAGACCAGGGGGAUUUACCGUCAACAUUGCCUAGAACAUGAAUGGCAGAGAGAGGAUGGAAGCAAAAGAGAGGCAGGCAAGGAGAAAAGAACUACAUCCAGAAGGUCCAGAUGGAUGCAAGCUGUUUCUACGAUGUGUGACCAUGACUCCAUUUAAAAAUUCCUUCUGCCAAGCAUGAGAGGAAAAAACCAGUCAAGGCAGGUGGGGAGAAACGAACUGGAACACAGAUUCUACAAAGCCUCUCUCUUCAUUACUUGUUGAAAAGGACAAAUGCCAAGAGCCAAACAUAUGCUUCAGGAAUACCAAAUCUGUCAGAUUUAAAGCACCCCGCCCUUAUAUGCUGCCUGUUGGCUUCCUUGUUAAGUGCAAAGGCUCAGAUGGGACCUGCUUCGGGAGAACGGAAACAACUCGAGGCUAUGAGCACAAGUUGAGAGAUACAUUCUUUCAAGCUCUUGCCAAGUCUCCAAUCCAGCUGGGCAUUUCAGUCUUGUUGCAAUACCAAGUUAAGACCACGCUCACUAAAAAUUAAUGAGGUGGAUGAGGAUGUGGCAGCAGGCACAAGAGAUGUACAGAAUCCAGAAGAGCCUUCAGGAGGAAAUAAGCAAUGAAAUAUCCAUAUGGCUGGAAUCUUAUGAA